GACGAACGCUGGCGGCGUGCUUAACACAUGCAAGUCGAGCGGUAAGGCCCUUUCGGGGGUACACGAGCGGCGAACGGGUGAGUAACACGUGGGUGACCUGCCCUCAGCUCUGGGAUAAGCCCGGGAAACUGGGUCUAAUACCGGAUAUGACUUCAUGACGCAUGUUGUGGAGUGGAAAGCCUUGUGCGGCUGAGGAUGGGCCCGCGGCCUAUCAGCUUGUUGGUGGGGUGAGGGCCCUACCAAGGCGACGACGGGUAGCCGGCCUGAGAGGGCGACCGGCCACACUGGGACUGAGAUACGGCCCAGACUCCUACGGGAGGCAG
rnacentral:rRNA from 1 species